GUGCUCACUUCAGCAGCACAUAUACUAAAAUUGGAACAAUACAGAGAUUAGCAUGGUCCCUGUGCAAUGAUGACACACAAAUUCAUGAAGUAGUCUAUAUAUUU
ensembl:snRNA U6 U6 spliceosomal RNA